UUAAUAAACUGCCGGCCGUGGAGGUGACAAACGUUUAAACAAUAGAAAUUGAUGAGAUAGCGUGACGCACGAAUUAUAUGGCAAAUUAAUUGCAAUUCGACGCUCCCCAAAAUGUCAAUCAAAGAGCAAUAAAUUGCACAGCAAAACGAGAUGGAAGAAAGGGCCCUAGGCAAAUAAGGAGCAAAAUAGAUGGUUUAAAAGGGAGUAGAAAAGUGCACUGAAAAUAAAGUUUAAUUAUUAUAUUUAGUAAUUUAUCCUGCUGCUGCUGCUGCUGCGAGGACCCAGAACUGUUGCUGCGACAUCUCUUGUUCUGGGCCGGGGACUCCCCCAUAUCGAGACUCUCGUUAUCGCUGUCCAUGGUCUCGCUGCAAUCGCCAUCGUUAUCGCCGCCCAUGUCGUCCUGUUUCCUCUUGGCCGUGGCCAUUUCCGCCGCAUGCCGUUUGCGCCACUUGGUGCGACGAUUUUGGAACCAGACCUGCAACAAAACCGAGAAGGAAUCACGCUUUAGUGAGGGGCAAAUAAAAUGUUAUUGAUAUAUUCCUAGUGCUGACCCUAAUCAAACGAGCUUCGAAAGAAUUAUAUCUCAGGUUUUGAUGUAACCUUUAUUUUAUCCAAUAUUUACAGGAGAAGAAACGUGUAAUUACCUAUUUGAUUAGCGAAUAUCAACUCUAUACUUAUAUCUUUUUCUAUCUACGCUUAAGUUAAAACGGAAAAAUCUGUCCAUGUGUAAUUAGGCGAGUCACAUUGUCAAAGUCAUUAAGUCGCCCUGGGGGAUGGGGGCAAACGAGCCAGCAACAGCCCAUAAGUCGCAUCAUCAACGCCGGUUAACCCUCAAUUAAGACAAUAUUAAGCCCUGGACAGCCAAAUGGCGAAAUGUUGCCCGGCAGCAACAGCAACAGCACAGAAGCAACAUCAACCGCAGCAGCAGCAACAGCAAAAGCAGCAACAGCAGCAACUGUUUUCAGCGGCAAAAACUAUGCACAAACCAUGACUAACGUCUUUGGCUGCGCUUCAUUUUGCCGGCCUCGUUUGCCUCGCUCUGUGGCAACAUAUGUUGGCCAAAAUCCCAUCCUCGACCUUCCCAUCCCCAACGCCCAUGGCUGUUUUAAAAGCGGAUUCACAUUCACCCAUCGCAAGUCCCAGGCACGUUUUCCAGCUUUCAGCUGCCUGCCACUCGGAAGGCAGGGGCUUCAAACUCAAAAUCGGCAUAAUUUCAACAUUUGCCUGAUGAUGGAGCAGAUUUUUGGUAGCUGUUUGCAGUUAGAAUCAUUAACAAGGCGUAUAAAUGGGCACUUAAUGUAAGAAGAGUCUUUGGAAUUUGGAAAAUGAUUUUGAAGAAAUAUUAAAACAGUUCAUAAGAAAGCUUAAAAAAUGUGCUAUAAAACUUCAAUAU